rnacentral:rRNA from 1 species
GAUAGAUCAUAAAUGCUGGAAUGCUUUAUGAUUGAAAGGUUUCGACCGCCUUAGGAUGGAUCUGCGGCCUAUCAGGUUGUAGUGGGUGUAAUGUACCUACUAGCCUACGACGGGUACGGGUUGUGGAAGCAAGAGCCCGGAGAUGGAUUCUGAGACAUGAAUCCAGGCCCUACGGGGCGCAGCAGGCGCGAAAACUUUACAAUGCGGGAAACCGUGAUAAGGGAACACUGAGUGCUAGCAUUUAUGUUAGCUGUCCACAUGUGUAACUAGCAUGUGAUAGCAAGGGCUGGGCAAGACCGGUGCCAGCCGCCGCGGUAACACCGGCAGCCCGAGUGGUGAUCACUAUUAUUGGGUCUAAAGGGUCCGUAGCCGGUUUAAUCAGUCUUCUGGGAAAUCUAAUCGCUUAACUAUUAGGCUUCCAGGGGAUACUGUUAGACUUGGGACC